rnacentral:rRNA from 1 species
AGAGUUUGAUCAUGGCUCAGGAUGAACGCUGGCGGCGUGCCUAACACAUGCAAGUCGAGCGAUCUUCUUCGGAAGAGAGCGGCGGACGGGUGAGUAACGCGUGGGUAACCUGCCCUGUACACACGGAUAACAUACCGAAAGGUAUGCUAAUACGAGAUAAUAUGCUUUUAUCGCAUGGUAGAAGUAUCAAAGCUCCGGCGGUACAGGAUGGACCCGCGUCUGAUUAGCUAGUUGGUAAGGUAACGGCUUACCAAGGCGACGAUCAGUAGCCGACCUGAGAGGGUGAUCGGCCACAUUGGAACUGAGACACGGUCCAAACUCCUACGGGAGGCAGCAGUGGGGAAUAUUGCACAAUGGGCGAAAGCCUGAUGCAGCAACGCCGCGUGAGCGAUGAAGGCCUUCGGGUCGUAAAGCUCUGCCCUCAGGGAAGAUAAUGACGGUACUUGAGGAGGAAGCCCCGGCUAACUACGUGCCAGCAGCCGCGGUAAUACGUAGGGGGCUAGCGUUAUCCGGAAUUACUGGGCGUAAAGGGUGCGUAGGUGGUUUCUUAAGUCAGAGGUGAAAGGCUACGGCUCAACCGUAGUAAGCCUUUGAAACUGGGAAACUUGAGUGCAGGAGAGGAGAGUGGAAUUCCUAGUGUAGCGGUGAAAUGCGUAGAUAUUAGGAGGAACACCAGUUGCGAAGGCGGCUCUCUGGACUGUAACUGACACUGAGGCACGAAAGCGUGGGGAGCAAACAGGAUUAGAUACCCUGGUAGUCCACGCCGUAAACGAUGAGUACUAGCUGUCGGAGGUUACCCCCUUCGGUGGCGCAGCUAACGCAUUAAGUACUCCGCCUGGGAAGUACGCUCGCAAGAGUGAAACUCAAAGGAAUUGACGG